rnacentral:rRNA from 1 species
UUUUUCGGAGAGUUUGAUCCUGGCUCAGGACGAACGCUGGCGGCGUGCCUAAUACAUGCAAGUCGAGCGGACAGAAGGGAGCUUGCUCCCGGAUGUUAGCGGCGGACGGGUGAGUAACACGUGGGUAACCUGCCUGUAAGACUGGGAUAACUCCGGGAAACCGGAGCUAAUACCGGAUAGUUCCUUGAACCGCAUGGUUCAAGGAUGAAAGACGGUUUCGGCUGUCACUUACAGAUGGACCCGCGGCGCAUUAGCUAGUUGGUGGGGUAAUGGCUCACCAAGGCGACGAUGCGUAGCCGACCUGAGAGGGUGAUCGGCCACACUGGGACUGAGACACGGCCCAGACUCCUACGGGAGGCAGCAGUAGGGAAUCUUCCGCAAUGGACGAAAGUCUGACGGAGCAACGCCGCGUGAGUGAUGAAGGUUUUCGGAUCGUAAAGCUCUGUUGUUAGGGAAGAACAAGUGCGAGAGUAACUGCUCGCACCUUGACGGUACCUAACCAGAAAGCCACGGCUAACUACGUGCCAGCAGCCGCGGUAAUACGUAGGUGGCAAGCGUUGUCCGGAAUUAUUGGGCGUAAAGGGCUCGCAGGCGGUUUCUUAAGUCUGAUGUGAAAGCCCCCGGCUCAACCGGGGAGGGUCAUUGGAAACUGGGAAACUUGAGUGCAGAAGAGGAGAGUGGAAUUCCACGUGUAGCGGUGAAAUGCGUAGAGAUGUGGAGGAACACCAGUGGCGAAGGCGACUCUCUGGUCUGUAACUGACGCUGAGGAGCGAAAGCGUGGGGAGCGAACAGGAUUAGAUACCCUGGUAGUCCACGCCGUAAACGAUGAGUGCUAAGUGUUAGGGGGUUUCCGCCCCUUAGUGCUGCAGCUAACGCAUUAAGCACUCCGCCUGGGGAGUACGGUCGCAAGACUGAAACUCAAAGGAAUUGACGGGGGCCCGCACAAGCGGUGGAGCAUGUGGUUUAAUUCGAAGCAACGCGAAGAACCUUACCAGGUCUUGACAUCCUCUGACAACCCUAGAGAUAGGGCUUUCCCUUCGGGGACAGAGUGACAGGUGGUGCAUGGUUGUCGUCAGCUCGUGUCGUGAGAUGUUGGGUUAAGUCCCGCAACGAGCGCAACCCUUGAUCUUAGUUGCCAGCAUUCAGUUGGGCACUCUAAGGUGACUGCCGGUGACAAACCGGAGGAAGGUGGGGAUGACGUCAAAUCAUCAUGCCCCUUAUGACCUGGGCUACACACGUGCUACAAUGGACAGAACAAAGGGCUGCAAGACCGCAAGGUUUAGCCAAUCCCAUAAAUCUGUUCUCAGUUCGGAUCGCAGUCUGCAACUCGACUGCGUGAAGCUGGAAUCGCUAGUAAUCGCGGAUCAGCAUGCCGCGGUGAAUACGUUCCCGGGCCUUGUACACACCGCCCGUCACACCACGAGAGUUUGCAACACCCGAAGUCGGUGAGGUAACCUUUAUGGAGCCAGCCGCCGAAGGUGGGGCAGAUGAUUGGGGUGAAGUCGUAACAAGGUAGCCGUAUCGGAAGGGGGGGCUGG